CCGGCGAGCGCUGGAGUGGGGUCGGGCCCGAGUGGCUGCCUCCCGCGCCCUCUCUCGAGUCCCGGAGUCCUAGUGAAAGGAAGGGGGAGGGCGCGGGCGGGGGAGGGGGAGGAUCGCAGCGGCCUCGCGGCAGAGCCCAGCGGGGACCGCCACCCCGCGAUCUGCCUCGGCAGGGGUGCGGGCACCCUACACCACCGCUCGCCCAGCCGACCGGGGGGCCGCUUCCCCGACUUGAGACCGGGGGAGGCACAGCCAGGAACCUGCGAGCGACCUCUCUCCCUUCACCCUCCCUCAGUGAAUUUCUGUGGAUUUCGAUCCAUGGGAGGGAGUGGGGCUCGGGCCGGGGGUGAAGGAAAACAGUUCGUGGAGGCGGAUCGGAGACCCCUCGCCGCCCUCGCGCCCCUCCCGCUCCCCGGCGCCCUCGCGGCCCAGUGGCUCUGCGCGCCCGAGUCCGCGGCGCGGAGACUGGGCGGCCGCGGGGACUGCCGCGGGCUCGGCUCCGGGGCUCAACACUGCCACUGUCUGACACAACAGCAGCAGUGUCGCGGGAGCUGCGCGGCCGAGGCGCGAGAUGUGAUAGGCUCUGCAAACUGGGUGCAUUUUUUUUUAACCUGACACUGGACCGCUGAUGAGGGAAAGACAACGAGAGAGACGACGCUGGCUUGCGGUUCUCUAUUCAGGGUGGUGAAAAGAAGAAGGAAUGUCUUCAGUUCAUACAAAAUGUGAGCGGAUGCAGUGAAGUACAGCAACGGAGACUAUUCUGGGAGGACCCAGCAACUCCCAUCCUGGCCCAUUUCGCUGGAUCCGUUUCGAUCCUCAGUAGAUCACUGCCCUCUGACCCAAGUGUUCUUACCAAAGUGCUUUUUUUUUUCAGAGAAACGUUCUGACUGGCCAGAAAACGUUUCCUGUUACUCAUCACAGCGAAAACUCUCUUAGAGCAAUGUUUCAGUAGGUCUUCUGUUACCCAUAUACCGGAGUAUUGUUAUUAGUGGGAAGGUAAUGCUUAAUUAGGAAAAAAGAAAAUCAGCAGGGCAUAUGAACUGUUGAUAGAAAUAAAGAU
ensembl:lncRNA